AGCGAGGUAUGAAGUUCUUACUGUUUCAUACAGUAGGUAGGAACUUCAUACCAUGCUCG
rnacentral:pre_miRNA from 1 species